UACGUAGGGUGCGAGCGUUGUCCGGAAUUAUUGGGCGUAAAGGGCUCGUAGGCGGUUUGUCGCGUCGGGGGUGAAAACCCAGGGCUUAACCCUGGGCUGGCUUUCGAUACGGGCAGACUAGAGGUAUGCAGGGGAGAACGGAAUUCCUGGUGUAGCGGUGAAAUGCGCAGAUAUCAGGAGGAACACCGGUGGCGAAGGCGGUUCUCUGGGCAUUACCUGACGCUGAGGAGCGAAAGUGUGGGGAGCGAACAGG
rnacentral:rRNA from 1 species